rnacentral:piRNA from 1 species
CAGUAGGGAAUCAUGCCAUCGCUGGUGU